CCUACGGGUGGCAGCAGUAGGGAAUAUUGCUCAAUGGGGGAAACCCUGAUGCAGCAACGCCGCGUGGAGGAUGAAGGUUUUCGGAUUGUAAAGUCCUGUUGUUAGAGAAGAUAAUGACGGUAUCUAACGAAUAAGCACCGGCUAACUACGUGCCAGCAGCCGCGGUAAUACGUAGGGAGCAAGCGUUACCCGGAUUCACUGGGUGUAAAGAGCGCGUAGGCGGGAUAGCAAGUCUGAUGUGAAAUCCUAGGGCUUAACCAUAGAACUGCAUUGGAAACUGUUAUUCUAGAGUAUGGGAGAGGUAAGUGGAAUUCUUGGUGUAGCGGUGAAAUCCGUAGAGAUUAAGAGGAAUACUCGUGGCGAAGGCGACCUGCUGGAACAUAACUGACGCUGAUGCGCGAAAGCGUGGGGAGCAAACAGGAUUAGAUACCCUUGUAGUC
rnacentral:rRNA from 1 species